UGUCUGUGUCACACUGCUUUGCUUUAUCUUGGCCAGGUCGCAGUUGCAAAUGAGAACUUAUUCUCAACUAGCCUACCUGGUUAAAUAAAGGUGAAAUAAAAAAAUAUAUAAAAGAAUUGGUGAAGUUGGAUGGUUUUAACGUUGAGCAUGAAUACCUCAAGGAAAUAAGGAUGGAUUUAAGGAUACAAGAAAGUAUUCAAACAGGACCUGAUGUCCAGCUGUUGUAGGAGCUAUUGUGGGAGCUGUCAGGCAAGACAGGCUGUCAGCCAUAUCCCUUUCUCUGUUCUCAGGCAUCUUUGGCUUCCUGACAUUUGGCCGUACAGUGGCGGCUGAUAUUCUGAUGUCAUAUCCUGGAAAUUAUGUGGUCAUGAUCAUUGCCAGACUGCUAUUUGGAAUAUCAAUCAUCACCAUCUAUCCAAUUAUACUUCUGUUGGGAAGGUCUGUCAUUCUGGACCUGAUGUUGCAAAUUCGUCAGUGUCGGCACGGUGGUGUCACACUUGUUUGAGAACCGCUGCAGAGUGAUUCUGACUGUCAUCUGGAUCACAGUCACCCUCCCCAUCGCCAUGUUUGUCCCUGACAUGAGUGAGGUCAUCAGUGUUAUCGGAGGAAUCAGUGCCUUCUUUACCUUUCCUGGGCUUUGCCUGGUAUUCACUAUGUAGUCAGAGCCUGUGUCGCCCAGAGUCAGGGUGGUGUGCACUGUGUGGGGUGUGAUUACUGUAAUUGUUGGCGCCUUCAUUUUUGGACAGAGCACUACCAUAUGGAGAUCGUCCACAGAUCCAUCAGAACCACCAAAAUCACCAGCACUGUCAUCUAUCAUUAUCAAUAUCAUUAUGAUUGUAUCCGGGUUCUGUUUGAGGUUAAUCAUGUUUUUAAAGUUGAUGUUUAUGGGAGUCAGAAGUCUAGAAUAAGAUAUUGAUGUAGUGAUGCUAUAUCAACACUGCAUGUUUAAAAAAAAAUGUUUAUUUGACUAGGCAAAUUCUUAUUUUCAAUGACGGCCUAGGAACAGUAGGUUAACAGCCUGUUCAGGGGCAGAAUGACAGAUUUGUACCUUGUCAGCUCAGGGAUUUGAACUUGCAACCAUUUUGGUUACUCGUCCAAUGCUUUAACCACUAGGCUACCCUGCCACCCCAAGUAAGGCACAUAACCAACUUAUUUUAUUUGCUUGUAUCUCAAACGUAUUCAGUAUGGAGCAUAUAUGACCCUUGUUUAUCAGAUUUGUUGUUUUCUGAAAUAGUUUGAGAUGUACUUCACUCAUCCAAAAGCACAAAAUAAAUGUAUCUAUAGUA